CCAGACUCCUACGGGAGGCAGCAGUGGGGGAUAUUGGACAAUGGGGGGAACCCUGAUCCAGCGACGCCGCGUGAGUGAAGAAGUAUUUCGGUAUGUAAAGCUCUGUCAGCAGGGAAGAAAGAAAUGACGGUACCUGACCAAGAAGCCCCGGCUAACUACGUGCCAGCAGCCGCGGUAAUACGUAGGGGGCAAGCGUUAUCCGGAUUUACUGGGUGUAAAGGGAGCGUAGACGGCAGCGCAAGUCUGAAGUGAAAUGCCGGGGCUUAACCCCGGAACUGCUUUGGAAACUGUGCAGCUAGAGUGCAGGAGAGGUAAGUGGAAUUCCUAGUGUAGCGGUGAAAUGCGUAGAUAUUAGGGGGAACACCAGUGGCGAAGGCGGCUUACUGGACUGUAACUGACGUUGAGGCUCGAAAGCGUGGGGAGCAAACAGGAUUAGAUACCCUGGUAGU
rnacentral:rRNA from 1 species